AUGGCAAAAAAUGCUUGUGGUGUAUUUUUGUGUAAAUAAGUGUAAUGAAUUCGCGUAAAAUAAUAAUUAUUUUUAUAAUCGGAAAUGAGAGUAAUAAUGUUUGCAUACUUAAUUUCGUAUGCAGUCGCUGUGGGUCAGGCGAAACUAUUGCGACUCGAGAAAACAUUGACUGGCGCGCUUGUGUUGACUGCAGACGCUAUCGGAGGUGCUGCUACGUGGAAUUUGCAAGCAUACGAUUGAGCAGCAAAUGCCGGCAAUACGCUGAUAACAUUCGCGGUUUUUACCUUUCGCAGUUGAUUUUUGCCUUUUGCGAAGUGCGGCCGAAACCGUUUUUUGUUGUGAGAACGUGCGGGUUUAUAAUAAAAUCAAUAUAAAUUAUUAAAAAAA
rnacentral:lncRNA from 1 species